CGCCCCUGCUGCCUGUGAUUGGUCGGCUGUUUCCAGAGGGCCAAUUCGCCGUCGGGAAAGUCGGCAGUUUUGUGUCUCCUUUUCAGUCUUUAACUUCCUGUUCACCUGACCCGGUCUUAACGGCUUCAAUGGCCUCCUGAAAGCUCAGGGAAAAGCCGUUAGAGAAUUGUGGUAGAUCUGAAUGACGAGUGAAGGUGUGAAUAUUGGUGAACAAAGAAGAGUACACCAAAGGAAUGAGAAACAGGCAAAGAGGGGGCAUUCUCUACAGAGUAUCUUACUGGCUACAUUGGCCUCCAUAUCC
rnacentral:lncRNA from 1 species